rnacentral:rRNA from 1 species
UACGUAGGGUGCGAGCGUUAAUCGGAAUUACUGGGCGUAAAGCGUGCGCAGGCGGUUGUGUAAGACAGGUGUGAAAUCCCCGGGCUCAACCUGGGAACUGCGCUUGUGACUGCACGACUGGAGUACGGCAGAGGGGGGUGGAAUUCCUGGUGUAGCAGUGAAAUGCGUAGAUAUCAGGAGGAACACCGAUGGCGAAGGCAGCCCCCUGGGCCGAUACUGACGCUCAUGCACGAAAGCGUGGGGAGCAAACAGG